GGGCAUUUCACUCGAUUGAACAAGGAUUCUGUAAAUGGAAAUUGCGAGUGUGUACAUGUUUAGACCUGCAACUGAUACGCGUUCUGGCAGGAAUCGAACAUGCGGCGCCACAUGCAUGAACAUGCGGUUAUGGAGCUCGAUAGCUGGACCAUAUAGCUCAGUCAGUUAGAGCCAGGGGCGGCGGAACAUAUUUUAUUUUUGGGGGGGGGGCUAUAUUUUACAUUUUAC